UGCCGCCGCCGCCACAGAGGAGGGGGCUUAGCGCAGGGAGCGACGUGAGGCGUCACUUCCGGACGCGAACCCGCGGAAACUUCCGGCAGCUGGCCAUCCUCAUGCAAUAGUAGCACAUUGGGAAGCAGAGUCCAUGGACUGUGAAUUCCGCCUGGUCAACCUAUUCCUUAGGCAAGCUGAUGAAAUGGAGCUGAGUGACCUCUGAAAGAAAAGAAGAAGACUAUGUAAAGUCAGAAGGAACUCCCAGCAAGAAAGGAUGCCUAUAGCAAAUGCUGGCCCGCAAACAGCUGUUGGACAGAGGAUGGAGCAAGCUUCUUUUCUCCUGCUCCAGAAGCUAGGACCUGAACCAAGAAAUUCAAGUUACAAGAAAAGACAUUCUGACUAAACAUCAGGAAGAGCUUUCUGACAGCAAAUGUUGUUCACCAGUGGAGCAUACUCACCCUGAGAGGUGAUGGACUCUUCUUCCUUGAAGGUUCUUAAGCAGAGGUUGGAUGGCCAUUUGUCUUGUAUAAUUUGGUUGAGACUAGACGACCCUCAGCUCUACAGUUCCUAGGAUUCUUCUCCAAGAGAGAAACCUUUAUUGCAUGGUGGAUAGCUUAAUGAAAAUGUCAACCCAUUAUAAGGCUGUUAGAAUUUGCAUUUUUUUUCAUGUGUUGGGGAUCAUUUAAAAUUAAACUACCGAUAUCAGAAUGCCCUUA